GGUAAUGUAGAAUAGAAAGGUCGGAUUUCCAUCACUCCAGAAAUUUGACUUAUGGUCUCCCGUGUCCAGAGCACACGCCGGGCUAAGUUUGGGACACUGAGUGAAGUAUCCCACCCCCUUUCAAUGUCGGGUCUGAUUGUUCAACGUGCCCUCCUUUGGCGUAUAUUUGUGAUUCAGGGCCUCAUAUCGAACAUACACCGAUCUCAUCAUCGGCCCAGUAUGUGGGCUUUCAUCCAAUUGGAAAUUUCGGAAAAUUGACCUUGGUACAACCCUUGAUAAAUGAUCUACUGAGCUGUCAUUAUGGGCAAAGAUGACGAUGGAUAGUACUAUGGUGGAUGUGGAAGGGGAGAGGAAGAAGGCGGCAACGACGACGAGUCAAGUUGUGGAGUACUUUUCUUCCGGGACCCAGUAAAGAAUCCAUGCCAAAAAUGUAUUCUUGAGCCGACAAGGACAACGAGGCGCUUUGAAAAAGAGGAAGGAGACAAUUGGACCAACCGGGGCUCUGAAGGUCCCCUCAUUUGAACCAAGUUGUGUAGCCAAAGGACGACACGACGCCUAAAGAUUUGAUUAAUUGCUCGUUUAUCAGCGGAAAGCUAUCACAUGUGUGUACUUAUUCUUAGAUUGGAACUAUGACUCGACAAAAUGUAGGCCAAGCUGGGGCCAAACUACAAAAGUA